rnacentral:rRNA from 1 species
GACGAACGCUGGCGGCGUGCUUAACACAUGCAAGUCGAACGGAAAGGCCCUGCUCUUGUGGGGUGCUCGAGUGGCGAACGGGUGAGUAACACGUGAGUAACCUGCCCUUGACUUUGGGAUAACUUCAGGAAACUGGGGCUAAUACCGGAUAGGAGCUCCUGCUGCAUGGUGGGGGUUGGAAAGUUUCGGCGGUUGGGGAUGGACUCGCAGCUUAUCCGCUUGUUGGUGGGGUAGGUGCUUACCAAGGCUUUGACGGGUAGCCGGCCUGAGAGGGUGACCGGCCACAUUGGGACUGAGAUACGGCCCAGAAUCCUACGGGAGGCAGCAGUGGGGAAUAUUGCACAAUGGGCGGAAGCCUGAUGCAGCAACGCCGCGUGCGGGAUGACGGCCUUCGGGUUGUAAACCGCUUUCGCAUGUGACGAAGCGUGAGUGACGGUAAUGGGUAAAGAAGCACCGGCUAACUACGUG